GCCUGGGUGGCUCAGUCGGUUGAGCGUCUGACUUCAGCUCAGGUCAUGAUCUCACGGUUUGUGGGUUCGAGCCCCGCGUCAGGCU
rnacentral:tRNA from 1 species